rnacentral:rRNA from 1 species
UGAGACGGCCAUAGUAAGUUGGUAACACCUGUUCCCUUUCCGAACACAGAAGUUAAGCAACUUAUGUUGUUAUCAGUACUGUCCGGAAAGAUGGGAAAAUAACAAGCUGUCUUAA